rnacentral:rRNA from 1 species
CAGGAUGAACGCUAGCGGCAGGCCUAAUACAUGCAAGUCGAACGGGAGUAGGUAGCAAUACUUACUCUAGUGGCGCACGGGUGCGUAACGCGUAUGCAACCUACCUUUUAUUGGGGGAUAGCCCGGGGAAACUCGGAUUAAUACCGCAUGAUACUAUUUGAGGGCAUCUGAGGAUAGUUAAAGCUGAGGCGAUAAAAGAUGGGCAUGCGUGCCAUUAGCUAGUUGGUUGGGGUAACGGCCCACCAAGGCGACGAUGGCUAGGGGUUCUGAGAGGAUGAUCCCCCACACUGGUACUGAGAUACGGACCAGAC